rnacentral:snoRNA from 1 species
AUCCUUUUGUAGUUCAUGAGCAUGAUGAUUGGAUGUUCAGACGCUUCUGUGAGAUGUGCUACCCUUGAACCUUGUUACGAUGUCGGCACAUUAUCCGUCUGACC